GAGUGAUGUGAUGGCAUACCAUCUUUCGGGACUGACUCUUGAGAUGGAGAGAUCCUUUCUGACUUACUGAUCACUG
ensembl:snoRNA